rnacentral:rRNA from 1 species
AGAAUCAACGCUGGCGGCGUGCCUAACACAUGCAAGUCGCACGAGAAAGGGGAGCAAUCCCUGAGUAAAGUGGCGCACGGGUGAGUAACACGUGAAUAAUCUACCUCCGAGUGGGGAAUAAACUGAGAGAAAUCUUAGCUAAUACCGCAUAACACUUACGAGUCAAAGCAGCAAUGCGCUUGGAGAGGAGUUCGCGGCCGAUUAGUUAGUUGGCGGGGUAAUGGCCCACCAAGACGAUGAUCGGUA